rnacentral:rRNA from 1 species
AGAGUUUGAUCCUGGCUCAGAUUGAACGCUGGCGGCAUGCUUUACACAUGCAAGUCGAACGGCAGCGCGGGGCAACCUGGCGGCGAGUGGCGAACGGGUGAGUAAUAUAUCGGAACGUACCCAAGAGUGGGGGAUAACGUAGCGAAAGUUACGCUAAUACCGCAUACGAUCUAUGGAUGAAAGCGGGGGAUCGCAAGACCUCGUGCUCCUGGAGCGGCCGAUAUCUGAUUAGCUAGUUGGUGAGGUAAAGGCUCACCAAGGCGACGAUCAGUAGCUGGUCUGAGAGGACGACCAGCCACACUGGAACUGAGACACGGUCCAGACUCCUACGGGAGGCAGCAGUGGGGAAUUUUGGACAAUGGGCGCAAGCCUGAUCCAGCAAUGCCGCGUG